ensembl:snoRNA
ACAGACUGAAAAUGACCUCAGAUGUGUGUUUGUGGUCUGGGGUCAGAUAACUGUGCCUAAAGUAAGGUGGUGCAUUAAGCUUAUUGUGUUUGUGUCAUGGUGACAAAUGUGAUAAAACUUGUGCACCAACAUGU